GGGUGGAACGCUGACAAGCUCAUCGCAUCGUGAUCGGAGCCAUGUCUUCGGUCCGCGGUGAUAUACCGACACACUAUUGGGUCCUGAAAGAACAGACGUUCUUUCCAGGCAAGAUAACGACAGGACUUGGUCCGCAGUCAUACCGCGAGGGUUCCUCGGCUGGUGCUGCAGGUGGGCUGAGUUUUGUGUGUUGUUUGAGAACUGCACAGUGGACGCGAGCAUCUUUGUUAGUAAGUGUUUAAGAGCGUACGGUGGAUGCCUUGGCACCAGGAGCCGAUGAAGGACGUAGGAGGCUGCGAUAAGCCUCGGGGAGCUGUCAACCGAGCUGAGAUCCGAGGAUUUCCGAAUGGGGAAACCCAGCACGAGUGAUGUCGUGUUACCCGCAUCUGAAUAUAUAGGGUGUGUGGAGGGAACGUGGGGAAGUGAAACAUCUCAGUACCCACAGGAAGAGAAAACAAUAGUGAUUC
rnacentral:sRNA from 1 species